rnacentral:rRNA from 1 species
AACGAACGCUGGCGGCGUGCCUAACACAUGCAAGUCGAACGGGAUUCGGAGCUUGCUCCGAUGAGAGUGGCGCACGGGUGAGUAACGCGUAGAUAAUCUGCCUGAUGAUCUGGGAUAACAGUUCGAAAGGACUGCUAAUACCGGAUAAGCCCACGGAGACCUUGGUCUUUGCGGGAAAAGGGGGGGACCUUCGGGCCUUCCGUCAUCAGAUGAGUCUGCGUACCAUUAGCUAGUUGGUAGGGUAAAGGCCUACCAAGGCGACGAUGGUUAGCUGGUCUGAGAGGAUGAUCAGCCACACUGGAACUGAGACACGGUCCAGACUCCUACGGGAGGCAGCAGUGGGGAAUUUUGCGCAAUGGGGGAAACCCUGACGCAGCAACGCCGCGUGAGUGAUGAAGGCCCUUGGGUCGUAAAGCUCUGUCAGAGGGAAAGAAAUGUGGGCGGCUAAUAUCCGUUCCACUUGACGGUACCCUCAAAGGAAGCACCGGCUAACUCCGUGCCAGCCGCCGCUGUAACAC